UGGGUCCGGGAAGAAUUCAAAAAAUGCUUAAAUGUCCGGAAUCCGGAAUUUUACUGCAUCUGCAAUCGUACUGUACACACUGCUAAUAAAGAACAUUGUUGUUUUGUACCGUGCGCAUAUUUUUUACUACGAGGUCAUGAACUGUCCGGAAUUUUGCUUUUUCAAAUAUGGUGACCCUACAAUAGGUAUGAUACAGAUUGGGUUAACACGACUUGAUUGACAUAAUUUUUGAAUAUACAGAGUGUCCAAAACAUUUCUGUUUAUUAAUAGUUCUUAUUGUGCUUGUAGUUUUCAUUUAUCAAACAAUGAAAUUUAGUUUAACUUACAAUUGUUAUUACUAUGAAUUCGGGCAAAAUUUUUGGACACCCUGUAUACUUAGAUGCCUCAACACGGAAGCAAUUGUCUCUCCUCUUAGCUAUGGUACUGUCAAGAGAAAACUGGAAUUUACUUUUUGUAAUUUUUUUGAUAUUGUGUUAAAAUAAAAACAGCGUCCACAGCUCUUAAUGAGGCUUGAUCUAUUAUUCUUUACAUUCUAUUUACCAGAUAGAGAUUUAACCACGCUUAUCGAAGGCCGACAUUUUAAAGUAGUUUGAAUAACUAUGGUUCACUAGAUUUCAAUAUAUGCUAAUUGAGACGCUUCAUUCCUACUAAAACUUCAUCCUUGAAGGCUUCUGAUCUGGGAUGGCCCAAACUGAUUAAUGUACACUUCUGAAUACAUCCUGAAAUAUUACUUUUUGACGAGGAAUGUCAAAUAUUACUUUUGAAUAAAGAAUGUUAAAUAUGUAUCCAGAAUGGGUCAAUUUUAACAGAGAACAUGCUUCAACCAUUGUAUAUAUUGUCAAUUUGAUAAUGUAUAAAAGUUGAGAUAAACAUCAUUUCGUACUCCCAUAGUGUUUCGGGGACUGUCUGUGGUAACCAAGUUAAUAUACCCCCUGCCCAUAGGUUUUGGUUUAGACGAACAAAAUUAUUUACCUCGAUGUUGGUACACAUACUUGUGGAGCGCCCAUCAGUUUGAUUGUUUUUCUAUCUUUACAUAGCAUGUUGAAUGAAGAUUACUAUUGGCCCAAAUGACUAUAUUUAGAACAAAAUCUAAAUUAAGUACUAAUUAUUUUUAACGUGUUUUUUUUUAAAAGAGCCACCGCUAAUGUGGCAAUCGCAAUCUGCAGUACUUAAAAUAUGGCUGGUGUUUUUUUCUCAAAUAUGACAUUUUUUCAUUAGUGGCUUUCUACAAAAUAUCCUAGAACAGUGGUUCCCAAAUCGCGUGGCCAAUCACAGCGUAACAAUUUAAUAUGGGCCACCGAACUUGAGUGAAAAAGUAUAACACUUUAUGUUUUUACCUUUUUGCGUUCUAGAUACCACCAACUAUUACGUCUUUAUCACAAUUUAAGCAUGUGUAUAUUGGUAACAAUUCAAUCGCUCCACUCUCCUGGUCUACGAAUAUCAAUCAACUUUGGGAACUACUUUUCUAGAAUAUAAAAUAAUUUGGAAUGUAUUCAAAUAUUCAAUCUGUUUUGGACAUCACUGAUUCAGCUGGCUCACUUUAUCCCAAGUUAUUCAUGCUUAUUGAACUAUCAUACUCCUUCAUUUAGUAGCUGCCUAUACAUUAUACUGAAGUUCUUUGAUGAGUUGGUCGAAUUUAUGUCACCUGAUUUCACUUUUUUCUUUAAAUCAUGCAUGUUCACAGCAUUUAUUGAUUAAUAAAAUGCAAAUAAAUAUUUAUUGGAAUAUAUAAUGUCUUUUCAUUUGUAAGUUGCUGAAAAGUUUUAAAAUCGUGCUAUAGUAAAAUUAAGUGUCAAGGGCGAUGGAAUAGAAACUAAACUUGUAUUACCAAGAUACUAAGCAAUUAUUUUAGAAAGCAGGGGUUCUGAGUUUAUUGCAGGAAAAAAUUUUUUUUUUGUAUUUUCUCCUCAAAAACAAGCGUUUCACUUGACAUAGUGAAUAUGAAGUCUCCUAAUACGAACCAAUAUCUGACAGAAAAUUUUAGAUUGUUUCAGCAUGCGAUAAUGCAAGGUUGUCGAACCUAAAGGGUGAAUACCGCGGGUACCCAUAUGCUAUUGUUUUAGAUAGACUGUAAAAUCAGGGGUUCUAAGUUAACUAUGGGAAAACACUUUUUGUGUUUCUAUUUUGCAAGAAUGUCCAAACAUAAUAUCAUGCUUCUCAAAGAUAUCUACCAACAGCGAAUGAUAGAUAGGUAUAAUAUCCGAUUCUCAAAAUGACACAUAAUUUCCCCCUUGGGUACUUUAAAUAAUUAAUUAAUUUUUCAAGCAAGAAAGUGCACAAUCAAAUGUUUUCAUAUUUCACUUGCAGCACAUGGCAAAACAUAGUUGAAGCGAUAAUUGUAUUUUUGGAAUUUGGUGGGUAAUAAGAAAUAAAAUAUCGGAAUCCUCUUCAAAAACGUAACAUUUUGAAAUAGUAUGGCUCUAUGGGAGGAAUGCCUGAGCUCUAACGGAGAUAAUAAUAUACAAAUUUAAAAAAUAAUAAAAACGUUCACAUCCUGGGGGAGUCAUACACUUUACUUUUAUUAGUCCAUGUGUUUAAAGAAUGGUUCCUGUACAUUCCACAGACUCCUAAAUGUUGAGAAAAUCUUUGUGAUUUUCCGUGAAAAGUUGUUGGUGCUGAUUCAUGUGUUGCGGGGAGAAUUCCGUAAAUACUUGAAGAGGUUUUGUACAAAGGAUGUUGUGGUUGAUAACUUCCAUCCCAAGCCAUUUCAUCUCUUUCUACUUCCACUCGA